AUUUGGUGAUUGGCAGCCUCUGAAAUGUUAGAUUAAUUUGAUCUAGUUCUAAAGUGCUUUAGUCAUAUAUGAAUUUAAACCUAGUACCAUCCAAAACCAUGUAAUGGAUUUUAAGAAUCUGUUAGGCCUUCUUAGCCUUUAUACAUGUCCCUACCUGAUUUUUACUGUCCUUCAUGAUCCUGUUCUUGAAAACUUCAGUUUGUAUUUGAGAAUCCUUUAAAUCUCCUUCCAAUUUGUUUUCUCCCUGAAGUAAUAUAAAAGGAAGUAUUUAAGUGAAAGUUUAAGAGUUUUAAAACAUUCUUUAAAAUUAAUACAGAUAGUUAGCUAUUUAUCUUUUAAAAAUAAACUAAGGUAAAAAACGUGACACUUUACAUAUUUCAUAUUUUUCAUAUAGUCUGGAGGUAUACACAGUUGUUUUGUUUUUAACCACGGUAUUGAAACCUUUAAAAGGUAAUUAAGCAUUUGGUCAAGUAAAUAUAGAACAUUUGUAUAAAGAAAGAAAUGAAAUUGUGCUUAAUGUUAUAUACUGUUAUUAUUUGCAGGCUGGUUUUAAUUCUUAAUUUGAUUAGCAAAGCUAAAAAAGUGGAUGUUGAAGUUGAAAGUUUUAAAGAGGUACAAAAUCUUACAAGGACAUAAAUUAUUAUUUGGUUGAAAAAUAGCCUAUUAGAUAUUGUAUGUCCCUUCCUCUGUACAAAUUGUAAAAUACUUAAAAUAACUAUGAAGAAUUCAUAUAGGAAGUGUGAUACUAUUGUAAAUGUGUAUUUGAGAAUAUGCAAAAAUAAAAAUAAUAUUUUACUGUUAAUAAAUGUUUACUUGUAUAUGA
rnacentral:lncRNA from 1 species